rnacentral:rRNA from 1 species
AGUCUGGUGCCAGCAGCCGCGGUAAUUCCAGCUCUGAUAGUAUAUAUUAAAGUUGUUGCAGUUAAAAAGCUCGUAGUUGAAACUUGGGUGCGUAGGGGCGGUCUCUUUUAGAGUACUACCCUGAAACAUCUUUCUUUGGUGUAAACUCUUUAUUCACUUAAGGAGUGUAAACCAAACAUUUACUUUGAAAAAAUUAGAGUGUUCAAAGCAGGCCUUUGCUCGAAUAUAUUAGCAUGGAAUAAUAGAAUAGGACGUAUGGUUCUAUUUUGUUGGUUUCUAGGACCGUCGUAAUGAUUAAUAGGGACGGUCGGGGGCAUCAGUAUACAGUUGUCAGAGGUGAAAUUCUUGGAUUUACUGAAGACUAACUACUGCGAAAGCAUUUGCCAAGGACGUUUUCAUUAAUCAAGAACGAAAGUUAGGGGAUCGAAGACGAUCAGAUACCGUCGUAGUCUUAACCGUAAACUAUGCCGACUAGGGAUCGGAGGGCGUUAUAAUAACCUCUCCGGCACCUUACGAGAAAUCAAAGUUUUUGGGUUCUGGGGGGAGUAUGGCUGCAAGGCUGAAACUUAAAGGAAUUGACGGAAGGGCACCACCAGGAGUGGAGCCUGCGGCUUAAUUUGACCCAACACGGGGAAACUCACCAGGUCCAGACACAAUAAGGAUUGACAGAUUGAGAGCUCUUUCAUGAUUUUGUGGGUGGUGGUGCAUGGCCGUUCUUAGUUGGUGGAGUGAUUUGUCUGCUUAAUUGCGAUAACGAACGAGACCUUAACCUGCUAAAUAGCUGUAACAAUAGAUUAUUGUUUUGACAGCUUCUUAGAGGGACUAUCGAUUUUCAAGUCGAUGGAAGUUUGAGGCAAUAACAGGUCUGUGAUGCCCUUAGACGUUCUGGGCCGCACGCGCGCUACACUGACGGAGCCAGCGAGUCUAACCUGUGCCGAGAGGUAUGGGUAAUCUUGUGAAACUCCGUCGUGCUGGGGAUAGAGCAUUGCAAUUAUUGCUCUUCAACGAGGAAUUCCUAGUAAGCGCAAGUCAUCAGCUUGCGUUGAUUACGUCCCUGCCCUUUGUACACACCGCCCGUCGCUACUACCGAUUGAAUGGCUUAGUGAGGCUUCCGGAUUGAUUAACUGGAGAGGGCAACUUUUCUGGUUGAACGAGAAGCCAGUCAAACUUGGUCAUUUAGA